rnacentral:tRNA from 1 species
ACUUACUUAGUAUAACUAGUAUGGCUGUCUUCCAAACAGCAGGUUUAAAUAAAUUGUUUAAAGUAAGUA